AUUUAUACCUAUUUAAGUGUAUUGUGGAAAUAUAUUUAAUAAACACAAAUUAACUAUUCAAUAGUGGAAAUAGAAGAAACUAUUAGUGAUCAAAGUAGUAAAUAUUUAGCUCACCAAUAAACACAUAAGGCUCAAUAUCAUUAUUUAUCAGAGAAACACAAAAAUAUAGUUCAGCCACAAUAAAACCCACCCACAUGGAUAAUAUUCAAAAUAUUGCCAAAAUCAAGAAGGAAUUAUUGGAGUGAUAUACUUCAAAAAUAUAUGGAUUUUGAUUUUGUAAUGUUUAUACAGGUAACUAUUAUUUGUCAAAACACAUCAAACUGUGUACUUAAUUAGGUGAAUUUUAUUAUUGGUAAUUUAUACCUUUUUCUAUAAAAUAACAAUAUGGUAAACAAUAUUUUAGUUCAAUAGUUUCAAAAACAUUUUUGAUCAUUUCCCCCUCUUAAUGAAAAAAAAAUACUUAUAAUUUACAUAGGCACUCUACUGUUUAAUGAAAGAAUAUACUAUAUAGUAUAGUACAUUUAAAAAUAGGGAUUAUGAAAGAAAAGGAUAAAGAUCAAAUAUUUAAAUAAACUAUUAAUUCAUUAGUGAAUUUCAUGGCAUAAUAUAUUAUUAGGUAACAGGUUCAUCAUGGAAAAUAGUAGACAUAAAUCCAUACAUCAAAAAUUAUGUCAAUAUUCAGAACUUUUAGAGGUAGCCACAAUAUAGACAAUGUAUUUAAUUUGUUAUGCGACUGUCAAAAAAUGAAAGGAACCCAACCUGUCAUCUUCAUUGAUUCUACUUGCCAUGUUAGUGCUAUCUUUCAACCUAUAGGCUAUUUGUAGGAAUUUUUUGAAGCCACUUAUCCAUACUAUGAAAUUAGUUUAAUUAAAAUUAGAUCAUGCAUUCCAUUAAUCCAUCUUCCUGAAAACAAAAAAUGCAACAAACAUGUAAAAGGCUAAUAACAACUCCUCUUGCCUCAGGAUGGCUCAUUACACAUGUGAUGUGUAUGCUUAACCAUAUUAUAUCUUAACCAUAUUUUUUAGGUAAAAGAAGAAACAAUUUCUAAUAUUUCCUUCCUAUAUUCUAAAAGUCUUCUUGUACAAAUGUGGACUAAACAUGCUAUACUUUAGAUUUUUUUUCUUUUAGUCUAAUUGCUGUGGCUAGGAUUUCCAGGACUAUAUUGAAUAGGAGUAAAUAGUUUAGCCACAAUAAAACCCACCCAUAAGUAAAAAGAGGGCAUUGCUAUUUUGUUUCAAUUUUUAGAAGAAUGCUUUCAAUUUCUCUCCAUUUAGAAUGAUGUUAGCCUUGGAUUUAGCAAUACAAUUUAUAUAAUGUUGAGGUAUGUUCCUACUAUCCCUAGUUUUUCUAGUGUUUUAAUCACAAAUGUAUGCUGAAUUUUGUCAAAUGUUUUUAUGCAUAUUUUGAUAUAAUCAUCUGAUCUUUGUCCUUAAGACUAUUGACGUGAUUAAUUAUAUUUAUCAAUUUCCAUAUGUUGAACCAGGCUUGAAUCCCUGGAAUGAACCCCACUUGAUCAUGGUGUACUAUCUUUUAAAUAUCAUUUUGUAUGUGAUUUACUAGCAUUUUAUUAAGAAUUUUGGCAUCUAUGUUCAUCAGGGAUAUUGAAACUAUCCUUAUUUGCCGAUGACAUGGUUUUAAAUUUAGAAGACCCAAAAAUCUCCACCAGAAAGAUUACAGAACUCAUAAAUGAAUUCAUCAAAGUAAGAGGAUACAAAAUUAACAUCCAUAAAUCAAUUGCAUUCCAAUACACCAAUGAUGAGUCAGCUGAAAGAGAAAUCAGGAAAACUGUCCCAUUCAAUAUAGCCUGAUAAAAAAAAUAAAAUAUCUGGGAAUCAAUCUAACAAAAGAGAUGAAAGACCUCUACUUUAAAAACUACAGUACACUAAAGAAAGAAAUUGAAAAAGACCUUAGAAGAUGGAAAAAUCUCCCAUGUUCUUGGAUAGGCCAUACUACAAAAGCACUACACAGAUUUAAUGCAAUUCCUAUUAAAAUUCCAAUGAUGUUCUUCAUAGAAGUAGAAAAAGCAGUCAUAAAAUUCAUUUGGAAAAAUAAGAGACCCAGAAUAAUCAAAGCAAUACUCAGCAAGAAAAGUAAAGCAGAGGCAUCACAAUACCAGACCUUAAACUAUAUUACAGAUCUAUAGUAACAAAACAGCAAUGUUAUCAGCACAAAAACAGACAUGAAGACCAAUAGAACAAAUUAGAAGAUACAGAAUCAAACCAACAAAAAUACAGUUAUCUCAUAGUAGACAAAGAAGUCAUACCCAUACAUUCAAGAAAAGACAGCCUCUUCAACAAAUGGUGCUGGGAAAACUGGAAAUCCAUAUGUAGGAAAAUGAAAUUAAACCCAGGGUGGGAGGAAAAGGGAAGGGGUAGGAGAGUAACAAGGAUGUGAUGGUCAUCAUUAUACAAAGUACAUGUAUGAAGACUUGAAUUUGAUGUCAACAUACUUUAUAUACAAACAGAAAUACAAAAAGCAUGGUAUUUAUGUGUAUUAAGAAUUGUAAUGCAAAAAAAAAAUAACAUUACCUUAGAUUAGGUAGAGGGAAUUGAAAGGAGGGGAAGGGAGGGAAUGUGGGGAAAAGAAAAGUAGUAGAAUUAAACAGACAUUAUUACUGUAUGUAUGUAUGUGACUGUAUAACCAAUGUGAUUCUACAAUAUGUAUACUCAGAAAAAUGAGAAAUUAUAUCCUAUCUAUGUAUGAUACAUCAAAGUAUAUAAGUGCAUUCUACUGUCAUGUAUAACUAAGUAAAACAAAUUUUAAAAAUUAAAAAAAUUAAUAAACCCCUAUCUAUCACCCUGCACAAAGUUCAACUCAAAGUGGAUCAAGGGCCUUAGGCAUUAGAACAGAGAUUCUGAGCCUACUAGUAGAAAAAGUACAUCUAACUCUAUACCAUAUUGGCUUAGGAACGGACUUCCUCCAUAAGAACUCCUCUUGCCUCAGGAUGGCUCAUUUACACAUGUAGGGAAAAGAAAAGUAGUAGAAUGAAAGAGUAAAGGGCAAAGAGUAAAAUCAAGAAAUCAAUAAAUGAGAUGGUAUCAAGUUAAAAAGCUUCUUCACAGCAAAGGAAACAAUCAAGAAUGUUAACAAACAGUUUACAGAAUGGGAGAAAAUCUUUACCACAUGCACCUCAGAUAAAGCACUAAUCUCCAGGAAACACAAAAAGCUCAAAAAAUUAAUGCAAUCUAAUAUAAUUCCUAUUAUGCUCAAAAAAUUUAACAACAAAAACCUAAUCAAUAAACAGGCUAAGGAACUGAACAGACACUUCACAGAAGAAGAAAUAUGAAUGGUCAACAUAUAUAUGGAAAAAUGUUCAAUAUCACUAGCAAUUAGAGAAAAGCAAAUCCAAACCACACUAUUCAGAAGGGCAAUUAUCAAGAAUAUAAGCAACAAUAAAUGUUAUCGAGGAUGUGGGGAAGAAAGUUCACUUAUACAUUGCUGGUGGGACUGCAAACUGGUGUAACCAUUCAGGAAAGCAGUAUAGAGAUGCCUUAGAAAACUUGGAAUGGAACCACCAAGUUGACCUAGUUAUCCCACUCCUUGGAAUAUACCCAAAAGAUUAAAAGCAACAUAUUACAGUGAUGCAGUCACAUCAAUGUUUAAC
rnacentral:lncRNA from 1 species